UUCUGGUGAUCUUCUAUCGUGACUCUUCAAUGAAGUAUGGCUGUUAAUUAAUCUCACUCUAAGCGCCGAAAUCAACAUUGAUUUAGUGUUGGUUUUACAGUAAGUUGGAAGCUCUAUUCUCUCGUUUAUUUUGCCCUUUUCAUUUGAAUUUUUAUUGUUCUUUUGCAGUUCGUCUAUCUGCAGAGACCCCCAAAAGCACUAAUCCUUAGUUCAAACUAAAAGUCCACUACGGAUAUUAAGUUAAAAGCAUAUAACUGUUUGUAACUUUAAGAAAAGAUGAGAGAAGUCCAAAAACAAAAUUAAAAAAUUUAGGGAUAAAGCUUGAUAAACGACGAAUUGCAAAAGGACAAUAACAGUUGAAAUGAAAACGGCAAAAUAAACGAGAGAACAAAGCUUCGAAUUUAUCGUUAAAACCUACACUAAAUCAACGCCGAUUUGGGCGCAAAAAGUGAGAUUAAUUAACAGACAUACUCCAUUGAAGAGUCAGGAAAAUCGAAGAUCACCAGAAGAAUAAUCUUAUCGAUUG
rnacentral:lncRNA from 1 species